UUUGAAUUUGUGAUUUAAUGAUGCCAAAUGACCUUGGAUGAUGUUGUUUUUGCAUGAAAAUGGGAAAGAGUAUGAGAUCCUAAAGAAAUUCCUUGUGAUUGGUUUGAGAAUACUAGUUGAAUGAAAAGUAAAUAAAGUUGUGAUGUUGGUUGUAUUGUUGAUAAAGACUGAAUCUCUGGUGGUACAGAGGAAACUGUGGGGACUGGACAAUUGCAUGGAGUGAAAGCACAUGCACAUACUCUAGGACCAUCGCGUGUACUACAGGAGUAGAUCCUAGCUUUUGUUCACUUUUUGUUAUGUAGUUCUAGGUAGUAUAUCCUUGUAUUUUGAAAUAUUAAAACAUUUAUAGAACUUAAUUUAUAUAUUUGAUGUUUAAA